rnacentral:tRNA from 1 species
AGGGAUGUAUUUAAUAAUAAUAACUGAAUUGCAAUCAGUAGGUGUUAAUUUUAACCAUUCUUA